AUAGCGUAUAUUAAAGUUGUUGCAGUUAAAAAGCUCGUAGUUGAAUUUUAGCCUUGGCUUGGCGGUCCAGCCUUUAGGGGUUGGUACUGCUUAGGCCGGGGUUCACCUUCUGGUAAACCGGCAUGCUCUUUACUGGGUGUGUCGGGGAACCAGGACUUUUACUUUGAAAAAAUUAGAGUGUUUAAAGCAGGCACACGCUUGAAUACAUUAGCAUGGAAUAAUAGAAUAGGACUUUGGUUCUAUUUUGUUGGUUUCUAGGACCGAGGUAAUGAUUAAUAGGGAUAGUUGGGGGCAUUAGUAUUUAAUUGUCAGAGGUGAAAUUCUUGGAUUUAUGAAAGACUAACUUCUG
rnacentral:rRNA from 1 species